AAGAAGCUUCAAACCAGAGCCGCUAACUCAUGGACCCUAAGACUAAACCCUUAGACUUCUUG
rnacentral:tRNA from 1 species